rnacentral:rRNA from 1 species
GAUGAACGCUAGCGGGAGGCUUAACACAUGCAAGUCGAGGGGCAGCAUAGGGUAGCAAUACUCUGAUGGCGACCGGCAAACGGGUGAGUAACGCGUAUGCAACCUACCCUGUACAGGGGGAUAACCCGGAGAAAUUCGGACUAAUAUCCCGUAAUAAUAUCCGGAGGCAUCUUUGGAUAUUUAAAGUUCCGACGGUACGGGAUGGGCAUGCGUAACAUUAACUGGUUGGUAAGGUAACGGCUUACCAAGGCUAUGAUGUUUAGGGGUCCUGAGAGGGUGGUCCCCCACACUGGUACUGAGACACGGACCAGACUCCUACGGGAGGCAGCAGUGAGGAAUAUUGGUCAAUGGGCGCAAGCCUGAACCAGCCAUCCCGCGUGCAGGAAGACGGCCCUAUGGGUUGUAAACUGCUUUUCCAGGGAGAGAAACUUACGCACGUGUUGCGUGACUGACGGUACCCUGGGAAUAAGCAUCGGCUAACUCCGUGCCAGCAGCCGCGGUAAUCACUA